ACACCGGCAGCCCAAGUGGUGGCCAUUUUUAUUGGGCCUAAAGCGUUCGUAGCCGGCCUGAUAAGUCUCUGGUGAAAUCCCGCAGCUUAACUGUGGGAAUUGCUGGAGAUACUAUCAGGCUUGAGGUCGGGAGAGGUUAGAGGUACUCCCAGGGUAGGGGUGAAAUCCUAUAAUCCUGGGAGGACCACCUGUGGCGAAGGCGUCUAACUGGAACGAACCUAGCGGUGAGUAACGAAAGCCAGGGGCGCGAACCGGAUGAGAUACCCGGGUAGUCCUGGCCGUAAACGAUGUGGACUUGGUGUUGGGAUGGCCUCGAGCUGCCCCAGUGCCGAAGGGAAGCUGUUAAGUCCACCGCCUGGGAAGUACGGUCGCAAGACUGAAACUUAAAUGAAUUGGCGGGG
rnacentral:rRNA from 1 species